UGGAGUUGCAGAGAAUCAGUGACAUGCCAUGAAGAGAGUUGAAUGAAAUAGAGGAUGAGAAAGAUAAUUCCAUCCUUUCAUCAGAAAAGAAUAAAAAAGAUAAUUCCAUCUAUAUUUUGGAAUUCAAUAGAACAAAAAAAAAAAAAAACCCAACUCUUGGGUGCUUUAAAGCAUCUACCAAACCAAAGCUCAAUCCAAAUG
rnacentral:lncRNA from 1 species